UCCAUCUCCUUUCUCUCUCUAACCGAGAGCCUCUCUCUCUAGCCUCCACCGGAAAUCGCCGCCACCGCGCCGUCGCCGGAACCCCUCUCCUCACCAAAAUUUCCAGAUUUUCUCCUCUUCCUUCCCUCUUUCCAUUUCUCCAACCAAAAUCAUGAAAUUUAGCCAUUUAAUCCCCCAAAAACCCUAGAACCCGAAGCUAAAUUUGGGGCUUUUGUGAUUUCUUCUUUCCAAGCUCAAAUCAAGGCUAUGGGUUUGGCAAGAAUUUUUGGUAAGGAUCUAUCCAUGCAACCUUGUUUUCGAGUUUUUGGUUGAGAUGUUGAUUAUGGACGGAUUUGUAGGUGAAGAAGGCCAAGGAGAAGGAGUAUGACAUGAUUUUUUAAGAAGAAAGGGAAACACGAUCGUUAAGGAAGCUUAAGCGGAAAACGUCAGAGUGUGGAAUACGCCGGCAUUUCCAGUGUGCAGGUUUCGAGCAUGUGGUCGGGAAGCGUACAGGGGAGGCACAUGGCCCGGCUUGGCGCAUUUCUCUUUAGUUUUAUCAAAAGGAAGGUUUUGGUCCCUUAUCGGAUUUUGAAGUAAUUUGGUUAUUUAUUUCCUCACUAAUUUAUUUGUUUUCUAUUCGCUCAUUCACAAAAUUUCGAGAGACCCGUAACCCUGGGGCGCGUCUCUCAUAUUUGUUUUCACUUCGUGAUUGUUAUUUUCCAAAUUGGACUCCGAUUGUA